GGGGGGGGGGGGGGGGGGGGGGGGGGGGGGGGGGGGGGGGGGGGGGGGGAGAGGCGUGCGUGUGUGAUGGUGGCGGGUGACGGGUGGGGAAGACGUGGGUGGCGUGCCUGUAAGAAGGGGAUAACUUCGGGAAGCCGGAGCUGAUACCGGAUAAUCGUGUGCACGGCACUGAUGAAAAGGACAAGACGGUCUUGCUGUCACUGAUAGCUGGCUCCGCGCUGCAUUAGCUAGUUGGUAAGUCAGCGGCUUACAAAGGCAACGAUUCAUAGCCGACCUGGGAGGGUGAUCGGCCACACUGGAACUGAGCCACGGUCCAGACUCCUACGGGAGGCAGCAGUAGGGAAUCUUCCGCAAUGGGCGAAAGCCUGACGGAGCAACGCCGCGUGAGUGAUGAAGGUCUUCGGAUCGUAAAACUCUGUUAUUAGGGAAGAACAUAUGUGUAAGUAACUGUGCACAUCUUGACGGUACCUAAUCAGAAAGCCACGGCUAACUACGUG
rnacentral:rRNA from 1 species